CCCUAAUUUAGAAUCCAUGAGGACUGCCUGGGCUGCAGCGUGGUUUCCUGCUCCCUUUUCCCAGCUUGAUUGUCUCAGUCCCUCGUGGACAGCCUGACCUCUGCGGCUGCUCGAAGAACACUGCUGCACUGAACUGGAGUAAGACGCACGGGAGACGAAUGUAUUCGUCAUCUGUUCAUUCAAUAAGUGCUUCCAUGCCCAGGUGCUGUCAGAGUGGUUUUCUGGUGGCGGUGGUGGGGCUCCUGGAGCGAUGCCACUCCGCACAGCCCUGGAUCUGUGGUCCUGUUUAACUGGGGCAGGACUACUGAACGCUGGCAAGCUAGAAAACUGAAGACCAGCCCAGGGGCUACAACAUCUUGUUGCUGCUGAGGACCUGGCUUCACGUGGGAUGCAGGCACGAGUCAGGAAAGUCAAACCCAUCUCCUGCCAUGAGUUUAAGGCUUCUGAUGAGCUGGCCAGCGAUCUAGAAUCUCCAUUCCUUGACAUCGACUUUCAGAUUCAGUUCCCCUGCCUCAGAGGAGGAAGUUACAUUUCAGACCUGUCAGGUGACAGCGCCAUCCACACAAAGAGUCUUUGUUGCUUCCAGCCAGGCGUCUCUGACUACCCUGGGGACAGCCCGUGGCUGCGCAGAGAGCCUCCCGGGUUUGAAUGCCUGCAAGAACGUACAGGGAAGGUGGGUGCUACCCUGGGCCAGAGAUGUAUAGGACUUCUUUGGAGAAGCAGGCCCCACCCUGAGAACUGGAGACACGACUUUCAGAAAAGGUUCUGAGCAACAUCUACUGUCAAGUCCAAAAUCACUGCUGGGAAAUGAAACUAAGGGCACAGAAGGUUGAUGCAGAUGCGGACCCUUCCUGAUAGCAAAUGAGGGUAAGAUUUCCAGAUGGCACCGGUUGGUACUCAAUAUACAUUGAAUGAAUAGAAAAUGGAGGAGUCACCGAAUGAAUGUAACACAAAGGUGGGUGAUUUUGAAGCCCCCAUUGAUCUAAGCCAUCGUAAACUUGGUGCAGUGGCCCCUGGGGUAGGGAUAGCAGCUGCCCAAGGCACAGGGUGUUCAGAGAUCACAGCUGCCCUCAAAUUUUUGAUCUCCCAGGUCUUCUGCUGUUUUGUUUUACUCUCCUCUGGGUAUUUAACCCUGCCCUCUGUCCCUUCCUCCGUUGUUUUUCCUGGGAGGAGCUCAUGUAAAGAUGAAUUCAAAACCAAACAGCCAGUUUGAAAGGACAGCCCUUUUACUCCCCAGUAGUCCCAAGGAAGAUUUAAUUAAAACCAGUUCUCGGGAAACUCCAUGUGAUUCCGAUAUCACUGCUCCCAUCAGCACAGUGGGCAAGGGAGAGGGGGAGCUGGGAAGAAACAAAUGCAGUAGCUUUUACCUUGGAGAGGGUAAACUAAGGCAGAAGCUCAGUUAGGAUGUGGGAGGUGAUGGGAACAAAUAGAAGGCUGCUGCUUCCAAGGCCAGUGUUCUGCCUGUGAUUCUUCAAUCCCCAGCCCAGGUGACCUACCCUGACUCCUUACCAUCUCCUACAGGAGCAGACCUGGGAAUUCAGAAACCAACCUCUUCAAAGACACAAGGACGAGCACAGGAAACAGAACCUCCAGCUUUGCUGGAUCAUUUUUUGCUUUGUUUUGAUAAUUGACAUGAAAUAAACAGCCUUUUGACUUGUAAACUCCUUGGGGGCAAGGAUGGUGCCUUUUUCAUCUCUGUGACCUUCCACUGCACUUAGAUCAAUCCCUUAUACAUAGAUGCAUAAUAAAUAUUUCAUAAAAUAA